rnacentral:sRNA from 1 species
AAGCUGCGACUACGGUGCGAUUCGAGCGGCAGCGAGAAAGCGUUGCCGCAGGCAACGACCCGAAGGGCGAAGCGCGCAGCGCUGAGUCAUCCUUCCCCCACCACCA